GCUUGUCUCAAAGAUUAAGCCAUGCAUGUCUAAGUAUAAACAAAUCUAUACUGUGAAACUGCGAAUGGCUCAUUAUAUCAGUUAUAGUUUAUUUGAUGGUCCCUUACUACAUGGAUAACCGUAGUAAUUCUAGAGCUAAUACAUGCACAAAGGCCCGACUCACGGAGGGCUGUAUUUAUUAGAUUUAAGGCCAACCGAGCUUGCUCGUCUCUUGGUGAAUCAUGAUAACUUCACGAAUCGCACGGCCUCGUGCCGGCGAUGAAUCAUUCAAAUUUCUGCCCUAUCAACUUUCGAUGGUAAGGUAUUGGCUUACCAUGGUUGCAACGGGUGACGGGGAAUUAGGGUUCGAUUCCGGAGAGGGAGCCUGAGAGAUGGCUACCACAUCCAAGGAAGGCAGCAGG
rnacentral:rRNA from 1 species